rnacentral:rRNA from 1 species
GACGAACGCUGGCGGCGUGCCUAAUACAUGCAAGUAGAACGCUGAAGGAGGAGCUUGCUUCUCUGGAUGAGUUGCGAACGGGUGAGUAACGCGUAGGUAACCUGCCUGGUAGCGGGGGAUAACUAUUGGAAACGAUAGCUAAUACCGCAUAAGAGUAGAUGUUGCAUGACAUUUGCUUAAAAGGUGCAAUUGCAUCACUACCAGAUGGACCUGCGUUGUAUUAGCUAGUUGGUGAGGUAACGGCUCACCAAGGCAACGAUACAUAGCCGACCUGAGAGGGUGAUCGGCCACACUGGGACUGAGACACGGCCCAGACUCCUACGGGAGGCAGCAGUAGGGAAUCUUCGGCAAUGGACGGAAGUCUGACCGAGCAACGCCGCGUGAGUGAAGAAGGUUUUCGGAUCGUAAAGCCCUGUUGUAAGAGAAGAACGAGUGUGAGAGUGGAAAGUCACACUGUGACGUAUCUACCAGAAAGACGCA